ACCUGCCUUCGAGUGGGGAUAACGUCCCGAAAGGGACGCUAAUACCGCAUAACAUCCUGCCUUUGAAGAGGUGGAGAUCAAAGCUGGGGACCGCAAGGCCUAGCGCUCAAAGAGGGGCCCGCGCCUGAUUAGCUAGUUGGUGGGGUAACGGCCUACCAAGGCGAUGAUCAGUAGCUGGUCUGAGAGGAUGGACAGCCACACUGGGACUGAGAUACGGCCCAG
rnacentral:rRNA from 1 species